CGUCGCUGUCCAAAUCUCCGGACUCAGUAGGUUAUGGUGUGUUCUGCUCAAACCCAUUGAUAAAAAUGUCAGCCCGUUUACCAGAUCACUGGUCUAUAUUCACUGCAGAAAUGUAUGCCGUGGGAACUGCUGUUCAAAUGAUUCGGCAGCAUAAUAUCUCCAGAGCGUUGAUAGUGUCGGAUUCCUUGAGUGUGUUGGAAGCGCUCAAAUCAGCUAAUUUUAGUUCUAGUACGGAUUGCAUCACGAUAAGAACCUUCAAACUCCUUCAUCAGGCCAGGAAGGCCGGGGUUGCGGUCAGGUGCCUCUGGGUUCCUAGCCACUCCUAUAUACAUGGUAAUGAUAUCGCUGAUAUGUUGGCCAAUCAAGGCAGAUAUAAGGUUGGUCCUCCUAUCAUCCCGGGUGGACCUAGAGAACUGUGGCCAGAAUUCCGUAGGGAACUAAAAAACACCUGGAUUAACGAUUUUUAUCAGAUCUGUGCCCUGAAAGGGCGUGUCUAUGCGUUAUAUGCCUCUCGCAACACCUUUUUGGAUGAUCCCUGGUUUUCGAAAAUCAACCGGCCACGCCGUUUCUUCACGGUCGUUCUACGUUUGAGAUCCGGUCAUUGCCUUACGCCAUCUUACCUUCAUAGAAUAGGACUUAAAGAGUCAAACUUAUGUGAUUGUGGUGAGGUAGGAGAUAUCGUACACUUGUUUUUCGGUUGUGUUAAUAACUUGAGCAGAAGUAGCGGGCUGUAUACUGCACUUUCCUUGCAUGAGAGUUCUUUACCUGUUAACAUAUAUAAUUGUAUUUUUUCUGAAAAACUAGAAGUGCUGGAUUUGCUGGUUGAGUUUCUUUCUAGUAGUGGCUUGCGAGUGUAGUGGCAUGCCUGGUCGGCCUGGACUUAGUUCCUGUGUGUGCUUUUGCCUUAACUGCUUGUUGCCUUCCUUACUCCAUUAGCCUACCACCUAUAGCAUUUGACCUAACCUGGGAUUGGAACUCCAAGACUCCUGAUGCCCCAGGACCCAGGAAUUAGGAAUAAGAAGCAAUACUACAACACAGAGAUUGGGUGCAUAGUCUUUCAGGCUGAGCCCAUAUUCAGGC